UAAUACAUCGGAACGUGUCCCGUGGUGGGGGAUAGCCCGGCGAAAGCCGGAUUAAUACCGCAUAUGCUCUACGGAGGAAAGUGGGGGACUCGCAAGGGCCUCACGCUAUGGGAGCGGCCGAUGCCCGAUUAGCUUGUUGGCGGGGUAAUGGCCCACCAAGGCGACGAUCGGUAGCUGGUCUGAGAGGAUGAUCAGCCACACUGGGACUGAGACACGGCCUAG
rnacentral:rRNA from 1 species